UACGUAGGGUGCAAGCGUUAAUCGGAAUUACUGGGCGUAAAGCGCGCGUAGGCGGGUUGGUAAGUCCGCUGUGAAAGCCCGGAGCUCAACUCCGGAGGGUCGGUGGAUACUGCCAGUCUUGAAGGUGCUAGGGGGAGAUGGAAUUACCGGUGUAGCGGUGAAAUGCGUAGAUAUCGGUAGGAACACCAGUGGCGAAGGCGGUCUCCUGGGGCAUUCUUGACGCUGAGGCGCGAAAGCUGGGGGAGCAAACGGG
rnacentral:rRNA from 1 species